rnacentral:rRNA from 1 species
UGCAGUGCGGCGUGCUAUACAUGCAGUCGAGCGGACCAAAUCGGAGCUUGCUCUGAUUUGGUCAGCGGCGGACGGGUGAGUAACACGUGGGCAACCUGCCCGCAAGACCGGGAUAACUCCGGGAAACCGGAGCUAAUACCGGAUAACACCGAAGACCGCAUGGUCUUUGGUUGAAAGGCGGCCUUUGGCUGUCACUUGCGGAUGGGCCCGCGGCGCAUUAGCUAGUUGGUGAGGUAACGGCUCACCAAGGCGACGAUGCGUAGCCGGCCUGAGAGGGUGACCGGCCACACUGGGACUGAGACACGGCCCAGACUCCUACGGGAGGCAGCAGUAGGGAAUCUUCCGCAAUGGGCGAAAGCCUGACGGAGCGACGCCGCGUGAGCGAAGAAGGCCUUCGGGUCGUAAAGCUCUGUUGUGAGGGACGAAGGAGCGCCGUUCGAAGAGGGCGGCGCGGUGACGGUACCUCACGAGGAAGCCCCGGCUAACUACGUGCCAGCAGCCGCGGUAAUACGUAGGGGGCGAGCGUUGUCCGGAAUUAUUGGGCGUAAAGCGCGCGCAGGCGGUUCCUUAAGUCUGAUGUGAAAGCCCACGGCUCAACCGUGGAGGGUCAUUGGAAACUGGGGGACUUGAGUGCAGGAGAGGAGAGCGGAAUUCCACGUGUAGCGGUGAAAUGCGUAGAGAUGUGGAGGAACACCAGUGGCGAAGGCGGCUCUCUGGCCU